ACGCGUUCCGUAGCCUUCUGC
rnacentral:miRNA from 1 species